rnacentral:lncRNA from 1 species
GUCUGUGAGGAGCAGCCCAGGAUGAGAGCAGACAGCAUACAGAGCACUGCAGACACCAUUGUGUACGUAUACCCUUUUCCCAGUUGGCCCUUUUUAUGGCAACACAUUAAUUAUAAUUACACUUUACAAGACAGGUACUAAUCAUUAUCAUAUGGAGAUAAUAUCUAACAUUAGUCUCUAAUUGAUUCUGCAGAAAUAGUUUGACAUAUCAGAAAUACGUUCGUCCAUUUUUCUAACGCUUAGAUAAGAAGAUUGAUUCCUCCCACAUUGUCUGUCUGUUGAACAAAAAGCUUAGCCUGGUCACAAACAGCUCUGCUUUCCCACCAGCAUUUCUAAACAAAAAAUCAAGAUGUGAAACCUACAUAUUGUGGUUUUACAGGUGAUGCUCGGAGCUCCGACACGAAACCUCCAGUAAAAUGCCAAACUGUCAUUUUUGUCACAUUUGCUUUUGAAACAGAUGAAACUAGUGAGAUAGAACCUGUAGAUUACUGAGGUUUAGAGGUUUGGCCAGAGCCGGACUCUCUGUUUCCCCUUGUUUCCAGUCUAAGACUGUUAUAUAUUUACUGUACAGACAUGACAGUGGUGUCAAUCCUCCCAUGCAUCUUUUGGCAAGAAAGGGAGUGUCAAACUAUUCCUUUAAGGGACAGUAGUUGUCACUCUCAGGAUGAUAGUAUUGCCCACGGUAGCUGAAGGUCCAUUUUUAUUUGUGUCUCGUAUGCAGAACUGGUCUCGGCAUCGCUGUGGCUCCGCCGUCGGUCCCCACCUUGCAAGCUGUCACCAACCCCACCAGCGACAGCCUGCCUCCCCCUCCUCCCCCUGCUUCGGACGUGGACCCCAGUAUGCCUUCUCCUCCACCACCACCUCCCCCUUCCUCCAUGGACAAUGGCCUCCCCCCUCCGCCCACCUUGACCUCACCCACAAGUCUACCCCCACCUCCCCCUCCACCAUCAAAUGGUUUCUACGUGCCUCCGCCUCCCCCCGUAGCAGGAGGUGCCCCAAUUCCUCCUCCACCACCCCCACCUCAAACAUUAUUUGGAGCUGGUACUCUUCCCCCUCCGCCUCCUCCUCCACCAGUGUCAGGAGCCGCGCCGCCUCCUCCUCCUCCUCCUCCACCGCCCCUUCAUACUGGCACAUCAGGUCAAGGAGGCUAUAA